rnacentral:rRNA from 1 species
CAGUCGCCGCGGUAAUACGGAGGGCGCGAGCGUUACCCGGAUUUACUGGGCGUAAAGGGCGUGUAGGCGGCCUGGGGCGUCCCAUGUGAAAGGCCACGGCUCAACCGUGGAGGAGCGUGGGAUACGCUCAGGCUAGAGGGUGGGAGAGGGUGGUGGAAUUCCCGGAGUAGCGGUGAAAUGCGCAGAUACCGUGAGGAACGCCGAUGGCGAAGGCAGCCACCUGGUCCACUUCUGACGCUGAGGCGCGAAAGCGUGGGGAGCAAACAGGAUUAGAUACCCCUGUAGUCCCUGUCUCUUAUAC